CCCUCCUCUUCGGCCCUCCGUGGCCCCUGGCCUCGCUCUCCACAGUCCCCCCGGCUCAGAUUCGGUCCGGAGACUCCUGCCUGCCUCUCUCCUCCCCGAGUUGAUCCCGAGACUAAAUAUAAUUCCAACCCGUGAUCGAUUCCUGGGGCGCUGUCUCCUUUCGGUGCUGGGUCGAUCUGCGCGUCUCGGUAACUCCGGGCUGGCUCCCACUUCACCCAAGGGCCUUUAGCGCCGGGUCACUAGCGACCGCCCUCCACGCAAGCUGGUUGUAUUUUCUCCUAUCUCUCCCUUCUGCUCGCUAGCCUGGACUGUAAAUGGGGACAGGACCCUCCUGGAAGAGGAAUAUGGUGAAAAAGGACAGAUAUCCACAUGGAACGGAGAGGAUGGGCUUCAGCAGAAUGUUGAGCAACCAGUACCAUUAAUGAAGUGGGAGCCCAGACCCAGCAGUGGCCUGCAGCCU